AUUGAACGCUGGCGGCAGGCUUAACACAUGCAAGUCGAGCGGGGUGAUGGUGCUUGCACUAUCACUUAGCGGCGGACGGGUGAGUAAUGCUUAGGAAUCUGCCUAUUAGUGGGGGACAACAUCUCGAAAGGGAUGCUAAUACCGCAUACGUCCUACGGGAGAAAGCAGGGGAUCACUUGUGACCUUGCGCUAAUAGAUGAGCCUAAGUCGGAUUAGCUAGUUGGUGGGGUAAAGGCCUACCAAGGCGACGAUCUGUAGCGGGUCUGGGAGGAGAGUCAACCACACUGGGACUGAGACACGGCCCAGACUCCUACGGGAGGCAGCAGUGGGGAAGAUUGGAAAAUGGGGGGAACCCUGAUCCAGCAAUGCCGCGUGUGUGAAGAAGGCCUUAUGGUUGUAAAGCACUUUAAGCGAGGAGGAGGCUCUUUUGGUUAAUACCCAAGAUGAGUGGACGUUACCCGCAGAAUAAGCACCGGCUAGCUCUGUGCCAGCAGCCGCCGUAA
rnacentral:rRNA from 1 species